AACGAACGCUGGCGGCAGGCUUAACACAUGCAAGUCGAGCGCCCCGCCAGGGGAGCGGCAGCCGGGUGAGUAACGCGUGGGAACGUACCUUUUGGUUCGGAACAACUCCGGGAAACUGGAGCUAAUACCGGAUAAGCCCUAACGGGGAAAGAUUUAUCGCCGAAAGAUCGGCCCGCGUCUGAUUAGCUAGUUGGUGAGGUAACGGCUCACCAAGGCGACGAUCAGUAGCUGGUCUGAGAGGAUGAUCAGCCACACUGGGACUGAGACACGGCCCAGACUCCGACGGGAGGGAGCAGUGGGGAAUAAUGGAAAAUGGGCGCAAGACUGAUCCAGCCAUGCCGCGUGAGUGAUGAAGGCCUUAGGGUUGUAAAGCUCUUUUGUCCGGGAAGAUAAUGACUGUACCGGAAGAAUAAGCCCCGGCUAACUUCGUG
rnacentral:rRNA from 1 species